rnacentral:rRNA from 1 species
GCUGGCGGCAUGCUUAACACAUGCAAGUCGAACGCGAAAGCACCUUCGGGUGUGAGUAGAGUGGCGGACGGGUGAGUAACGCGUGGGAAUCUACCCAGUAGUGGGGGAUAACUUGGGGAAACUCAAGCUAAUACCGCAUACACCUUACGAGGAUAAGAGGGCCUCUUCUUGAAAGCUCUCGCUAUUGGAUGAGCCCGCGUCGGAUUAGCUUGUUGGUGGGGUAACGGCCUACCAAGGCGACGAUCCGUAGCUGGUCUGAGAGGACGAUCAGCCACACUGGGACUGAGACACGGCCCAGACUCCUACGGGAGGCAGCAGUGGGGAAUAUUGGACAAUGGGCGAAAGCCUGAUCCAGCAAUGCCGCGUGUGUGAAGAAGGCCUGAGGGUUGUAAAGCACUUUCAAUUGUGAAGAAAAGCUUAGAGUUAAUACCUCUGAGUCUUGACGUUAACUUUAGAAGAAGCACCGGCUAAAUCCGUGCCAGCAGCCGCGGUAAUACGGAUGGUGCGAGCGUUAAUCGGAAUUACUGGGCGUAAAGCGCGCGUAGGCGGCUUGUUAAGUCAGAUGUGAAAGCCCCGGGCUCAACCUGGGAAUUGCAUUUGAUACUGGCAAGCUA